rnacentral:rRNA from 1 species
UACGAAGGGGGCUAGCGUUGUUCGGAUUUACUGGGCGUAAAGCGCACGUAGGCGGAUCGUUAAGUCGGGGGUGAAAUCCUGGAGCUCAACUCCAGAACUGCCUUCGAUACUGGCGAUCUUGAGUCCGGAAGAGGUGAGUGGAACUCCUAGUGUAGCGGUGGAAUGCGUAGAGAUCCGGAAGAACACCGGUGGCGAAGGCGGUUCUCUGGGCAUGUCCUGACGCUGAGGAGCGAAAGUGUGGGGGAGCGAACAGG